UGCCAGACUCCUACGGGAGGCAGCAGUGGGGAAUCUUCUGCAAUGGGCGAAAGCCUGACGGAGCAACGCCGCGUGGUCGAAUGAAGGCCUUCGGGUUGUAAAGAUCUGUUGACAGGGACGAAUAAGCAAUGCGAAUAGUUUUGUGUAUGACGGUACCUGUUUAGAAAGCUCCGGCUAACUACGUGCCAGCAGCCGCGGUAAUACGUAGGUGGCAAGCGUUGUCCGGAAUUACUGGGUGUAAAGGGAGCGCAGGCGGGAAGCCAAGUCAGCUGUGAAAACUACGGGCUUAACUUGUAGACUGCAGUUGAAACUGGUUUUCUUGAGUGAAGUAGAGGUUGGCGGAAUUCCGAGUGUAGCGGUGAAAUGCGUAGAUAUUCGGAGGAACACCGGUGGCGAAGGCGGCCAACUGGGCUUUAACUGACGCUGAGGCUCGAAAGUGUGGGGAGCAAACAGGAUUAGAUACCCGUGUA
rnacentral:rRNA from 1 species